AAGCUUGAGCAGACAACAGGGAUUGCCCUAGUAACGGCGAGUGAAGCGGCAACAGCUCAAAUUUGAAAUCUGGCCUCUUUGGGGUCCGAGUUGUAAUUUGCAGAGGGCGCUUUGGUGUUGGCAGCGGUCCAAGUUCCUUGGAACAGGACGUCACAGAGGGUGAGAAUCCCGUACGUGGUCGCUAGCCCUCACCGUGUAAAGCCCCUUCGACGAGUCGAGUUGUUUGGGAAUGCAGCUCUAAAUGGGAGGUAAAUUUCUUCUAAAGCUAAAUACUGGCCAGAGACCGAUAGCGCACAAGUAGAGUGAUCGAAAGAUGAAAAGCACUUUGGAAAGAGAGUUAAAAAGCACGUGAAAUUGUUGAAAGGGAAGCGCUUGCAGCCAGACUUGCCUGUAGUUGCUCAUCCGGGUUUUUACCCGGUGCACUCUUCUGCGGGCAGGCCAGCAUCAGUUUGGGCGGUUGGAUAAAGGUCUCUGUCAUGUACCUCUCUUCGGGGAGAACUUAUAGGGGAGACGACAUGCAACCAGCCUGGACUGAGGUCCGCGCAUCUGCUAGGAUGCUGGCGUAAUGGCUGUAAGCGGCCCGUCUUGAAACACGGACCAAGGAGUCUAACAUCUAUGCGAGUGUUUGGGUGUCAAGCCCGAGCGCGUAAUGAAAGUGAACGGAGGUGGGAACCUUUCGGGGUGCACCAUCGACCGAUCCUGAUGUCUUCGGAUGGAUUUGAGUAAGAGCAUAGCUGUUGGGACCCGAAAGAUGGUGAACUAUGCUUGAAUAGGGUGAAGCCAGAGGAAACUCUGGUGGAGGCUCGCAGCGGUUCUGACGUGCAAAUCGAUCGUCAAAUUUGGGCAUAGGGGCGAAAGACUAAUCGAACUAUCUAGUAGCUGGUUCCUGCCGAAGUUUCCCUCAGGAUAGCAGUAACGUUUUCAGUUUUAUGAGGUAAAGCGAAUGAUUAGAGGCCUGGGG
rnacentral:rRNA from 2 species